GUGAAUGCCACAAACAAUCCCUUCCCAACUCCUUGUUCUUGCUUACAAUGCAGAUAGAUGGCAAAACGCCUCAUGCAGCUACACAGGGUGCCUGGGAGGAAAGGAAGAUAGGAUUUUAAAUCUGUUGGGAAGAUAUGAGAGUAAAUAACCUGUGCAGCCUCUGAUGUGCUUAAGGAAGGAAUUCAUCAACUGACAAGUUUGUACUUCAUUUUCCUUCAUCACCUAACAGCUUAGCAACAAGCAAUGACUGGCAAAUUUUGCUGCUCUUCAAAAUCAAUGCCACUUUUCUGGAUCAUUUCCUCAUCUUCACGAUCAUCUGUCAGAACAGUAAAUUGACAAUGUGUUGCCAAGGACAGUGUGGGGUCUGCUGCAAGCCUUGAUAA